UCAUCUAUGCAUGUGCAUGUAUACUUACAUAUGCAUAUGUGUAUGAUGUGACUAUCUAUGUGUGUAUACACAUAGACAUGUGUGUAUACCAAUAUAUCUCCCUCUCUCUCCUAUAGAACAUAGAUAGAUCUCACAGACAGCAUUGCAUAGUGAAUAGAGAGCUUGCCUCAGUGCCCAGAUGACUUGGGGUCAAUUCCUGAAUCUGAUUCUUGCUAAAGCUGUGUUACUUUGGUGCCCCAAUCAACUUUUUACAGAAUAGUUGCCAAUUUGCACACAGUAAGUCUGUGUGUGUAUGUAUGUGUGUAUAUGUAUAUAUCUAUAUCUAUAUAUAGAUAUAUAUACCUAUUUAUAUAAAGAUAUCUACAUAUAGAGUUGUAGAUAUUUCUAAAUAUAAAAAGCCAAAAUAUUUAAUGAACUUAAAAUUAUAUUUGAUAAGUAUGUAUAGGUAUCUUUCUGUAACUAUAAUGUCCCAAAACAAAAAUGUUAUGUGUCCUGUCUUAUUUGACUUGCUUCUAUUAGUUUCAUGGGAUUUGACUUUGACACAUGGCAGACUCUGAAAAAUGUUUCUUGACCUGCUGAUCUUAGUUAAAUUAUUUCUCACUUACUAUGACUACAUUAAUUGUAGUCAGAAGAAGUAUAAUUCAAAAUCAAGAAACUAAAAUCAAACUUUCAAGAAAAGGAGGAAUCAGGUAUUUGAGUUAGUUUGCCAGGCUCAUUUUUGGACAACAGAAUCUCUGAUAAGCAAAAGCAAUGAACAGUGCGAAAUAAAGAAUCUAAGAACCAAGUGUCCAAAGGACAAGGAGAAUGCUGUGAUCUUGGUUUGGAGAGGUUAACUCAAAAAACAAGUCAAUGACAGAAGAGAAUGCCUUGGAUCCUUACCUACCUACAUAUACCUGUCAGGGGAUCUGAUCUUCUUUGUGAUUACUGAUUGAAAGUUCACCCUAUGUAUUUAGUCACCUUAAUUCCCUUGAAAAUCUUGACAUUUGGUUUUGUAGGAACACUUUGAAACAUUCAUUUCAUGGAAUAUCAUGUUAUUUUAUAGUUAAAUGCAAAAAGUUUGAAUAAAUAUCUUCAUGAGCACUGUAUAUAUUUUAUAAAAUGUGCAUAGUGUAUUUUUUAAGUUUCAUAUGCAGAAAUAAUUGCAUUUGAAAAUUAGCAGUUGGGAUGUGCCUAAAUUCAGAGAAAAUCUUAAAUGAGAUGUAAAUAUACCUUUGAAAAAUUACUAAGUUAAAAAUAAUUGAAUUAAACAAUUUAAAGAUUUUUUUUAAUGACAAGGAUGUUGUUUUUAUUAAUACUGG
rnacentral:lncRNA from 1 species